AUCAAGUUGACAUAAAAACUAGCUGGCACAAACUUCCUAAUGGGUUAGGCUUCAAUAAUCAUUCACUGCAGGAGGCACCAUCUCUCUCUCUCUCUCUCCAGAAAAGUUUGCACACGCCAUGGCUCUGUAUGCUAUGAAUGCUGUUUGUUUGAUAGUGCCAAGCCUUUCCACAGCAACUUGUUGUCAUCCUAAGAGCAAAGAAGUAAAUUACAGUUACCUGACAGUCAUUGCUGGUUCUUCCACAUUGCCACUUGAGCUGAAUGUCAUCUCGAGCAUCGGCUCUUGGUUUAGAACAAGGCAGGAUUCGAGUUGGGAGCCGUCAGUUGAAAAAAAAUCCUCCUCUCAUCUGUUACUGACGUUAUGAACUUUCGACUGAGCUCAGUGAUCUCCUCCUGCUGCUGGCAGCACCCCCACCAUUACUUAGCACUGAGGUAAGCUUCCCCUGGAGCAGACCCUUCCACUA
rnacentral:lncRNA from 1 species